rnacentral:other from 1 species
GAAACCCUGCUGUGCGCGUGACGAAGCUGAUGUUUUGAACCAACACACAUACCUAGGGAGCCCAGCUCCGGGUGUCGCGUGUAAGCCUUCGGGAAAGAAGGACACACAAAGCAUCUGGGAGGCACCCACCUUGCGAGAGCGGGUUCAGGUAACCUUCAGCCGUAAACGACAUAGCGGGGUUUCU